rnacentral:lncRNA from 1 species
CGCCUGCAACAUUACAUUAGAAACUCUCUAAGGAUAGAACGCUGAGAACAGAGUCACACCAUUUUGCUGAAACAGUUCAAUGAUGGUAACAAAAAAUACGCAUAGUAUGGCAUCUAAAGUGUAGAUGAAGCAUCAAGAGUUGUAUGUGGUAUGGUACAACAGAAGGGAACUAGAGUAAUCCAAAUCAAUCCUAAAAUUCAGAAUAUGUGCAAAAUGCAGAGGUGUUUACUCGAGUUCAGCAGGAAUUGCAGUACGAUGUAGAUUAAAAACACACAUAAUGGCAUCUAAUAAUUGGAGAAGAAACAUCAUGCAUUCAACUAAGACGAAGUGGUAAGAAUGGAGUUGGCAUCAUGAGCGCAAAUGAUUGCAAUAAAGAUAAAAACUUCACAUAUCACGGCAUAGGUGAUACAGCAUGAUCAGCAUCAUAUAUCAUGCAUGGUCCAACAGGAGGGAAUUACCACAAUUCAACUCAAUACUGAAUUUGCUUAAAAGUUCAACAAGAAUUGUACAAAAAUGACAAGAACAGAACCUUAAUAGCACAUAAGUGAACAAGAAUUACAUACCCUGGUGCCCAGAUGAUCCGGGGUAGCCCGCAGGAGGGUAGCCACCAUGUUGGGGGUAACCACCAGGUGGAGGGUAGCCACCAGGCUGAGGGUACCCAUGCUGUGGAGGGUAUGCCCCAGGUGGUGGAGGGUAAGCCCCAGGAGGAGGGGGAUAAGCCCCCGGAGGAGGCGGGUACGCUCCCGGCGGCGGCGGGUAGCCCUGAGGAGGGUAUCCCUGGUGAGGAGGAUACCCAUGGCCGCCGGCAACGCCGUGCAUCAUGUUAGAGAAGAGCCCCUUGUCGCUCUCGUCAUGCUUGUCCUUGCCACCUCCCAUUGUCACCCACCCCAAUCAAGCUAAGCUAUCUGAAACAAAGUAGGAUGAUCAUGGUAUGAGCAAACUGAAUUCUUGAAAUUGGAAUGAGAUGGCAUGAAAUAAAUCUUUGAUAUUUCCAAUACAUGAAACGAUCCACUCUCAUCAGAAAACCAACCAUUGAUGUUGUGCAAUGAACAGGCGUGGAGGCAUCUAUAUAGUACCGAAAGACAGCUCCGAUCUUAGCCAUAUCCUACUGGGAAAUAUAAAAGUAGUUGUACCUACCAUACCAAUCCUCGUUGCAAAAUUCUGACUCUAGAACAUGACUAACGUGCAAAUACUUGAACAGAAACAAGGCAUUCAACGCGUGACAACUAAUAACUAAUCAUAUCUCAACACACGAGAGAAUGGUUGCCAGCUUGAUUUUCUUUUUAGAGAAGUGUUGCCAACUUGAUUCAUAUACUACCAGAUUAUUUCACCAGGAAACAAGCCGAAACUACGAUGUUUUCCGGAUCUCUGGUAGCACUAAAAUCCGGAACAAACAAGCUUACAAGAUCAAACGAACACCAGGCCAUAUAUGAUCCCUGAUGAAUGAAUGGAUGGAUUAUUUCUCAGAUCAAUUCCCCACAUCAGUCUGUAUCCCCAAUUUCUUUCGACCAAUUAAUAAUAAAACGCACAGCAACACCCAACACAGAUGAUUUCUACGAUGAGGAGAAUUCGGGCGUACCAGAAGACGAAUUGAGUCCUGAAGACGAGGAGGAGGAAGAAAGAUCUUGGCUGGGAGGAAGGAUUGAUUGGUGCUCUGCAAUUCUGCGGGCGAUGUCUCCUCCGCCUAUAUAGGAGGCGGCCACGUCCGUUGCGUGUCACUGCCGCGUGGGGCCCAGCUGGGUGGGUGGGACGAACCGGAUAGGCUUUGACCUUGUGCGCCGCGUCACUGACAUGUGGGGCCCAUGGAGACGCGCGAGCGCGUGGAGAGCGCGUCGUCCUGGAAGGAAAGAGAAAAUAAAAAAGGCAACGCGGCGAAGCAAGCAAGGAAAACUGACGGUUGUGGUGAGGUGGGGCCUACAUGGCGUAGGAGAGAUAAGGUCUACUCCCUCUAUCUUAUAAAAAACCAACGUGUACGAAUCUGGACAUAUCUCUGUCCAAAUUUAUUGUAUUAGAAUAUAUCACAUCAGUACUAGAUUUUUUUUUGGACAGAGGGAAUUUUUUUUACUUAUACUUAUGCUUAUUAGCUAAAAUUUAAAUUUUCAACUUUAAAUUUAAAGCUGAUUUUGAGGUUUUUUUUAUUGAACUUUAUUUUUCAGUCUUUGUUAUUGGAUUGCUAGGAACACGUGUAUAAAAAAUUUAUUUAUAAAUUACUUUCCAUUUACGGAUAUACCAUCACUAAGAACAUGUAUAUAAAAAUUUUAUUCACAAAUUAUUUUCUAUUUACAAAUAUGUCGUUUUCGAAACGAUCGCUUAGAGCAAGUUUAAUAGUAUAGCCAACUAUUAGCUUUAAUUCAUCUAUAGCCAAUCUAAUAGCUCAUUCAUACAAUAGUUACAUACCACACUAUUGAUAUAUGGUCCCACAUAUCAUACACACACUGUGUCUUAGAGUCCGUGCUACAGCUGUCUAUAAAUCUAUAGCCCGUUGUCCUUCUCUCUUCUCAUUUAUAUGUUUAAAAUAUAUUUAUAGCUGGCUUAUUAUAGCCUGCUAUUGUACCUGCUCUUAUGGAUGGAUAGAUAUAUUCCCGUCACGUCGAGCUGCGUGCAAACGACGACGCGCCGCCACGUGGCAGGGGAGGUGGGGACCGUGUGGGCCUUAUUCUCGGCCCAUCUACUUGAGGCCCGUUUCUGCAGGGCCCAUCUGUCACGCUCGUUCGCGGCUCAAACUGGGGAGAGGCGGAGAGAGAGAGAGAGGGAGCGAGGGAUUCAUGGCGCGCGGUGGCCGCCGGCCGCUGGCGAUCCCGUUUCCCCUCUUGUGCUACUGCUUCGUUCCUCCAUCCCCUGCGUUGGAUGGUGAAGAGUUGAUCAUCCCGGCCGGGGCUUGGGGGAUGGGUGGGCUAUUCGUGUCGACGGCAAUGCUCGAUACCUGCUCGACGGAAUGCUUGCCUCGCAAGUGUCAGGUGCGUGCCUAUAAACUCCCAACACAGAACGGUUUAUUCUUACCCAACAGCACAAGCUAAAUCCCAAUGCAAUUGGCCCGCCGAAAAAGAAUUAUAUCCUGAAACGAUUUUGUUUUGUUGAAAGAAUUAACUAUGAAUAUAUCUUCUGAAUGAUCUCACAAUCUGCAAUGUUCUACUGACAAAUAUACUUUCUUGUCAAAAAUGUACUUAAAUACACCUUAAAGUACAUCUUAUAGUAAUCCCCAUGGAAUACAGGCAUGUGUUUAGUAAACACUAACAAUGUGAACGGAGCCGUCUAUGGCAUUUGGCUACAACAUGUCAUCAUUUGAUCAUUUUUAAGUCUUGUUUUCUGACCUGCUAUGCACCUAAUUAGCUCGAUGACGAAUCUGGUUACAUCCAGAAGGCCUGAUCAUCAAAACAGGGAGCGGGUUAGUCCAGUAUUCCACCAACUCAUAAGAACAUAGCUGAAAUUUUAUCACUUUUGCAUUAGACAGAUAGACAGGAGUACCUAAUUCAUUUAGUGAAGAAUACCAUGUCACUAUGCUGUUUCUGAAGAGCCGGGUUUACACAUGCCAAUAGUGACGGCUUCUUUUUCUUGGCUGGAAAGAGGAAUAGCCGGAGUGGCACUCUUGUUCUAGAGGGUGCAUUUUUCCAGGUGCUGCUUCCUUUGGCCUCCGAUAAGCUAGUUCUCUCGACUAUCUUUUCAAUGACCUUUUCAAUUUCUGCUUGGAGCCCUUUUAUAUGAUCCAGACCAGAUUGCAGUUCAUCAGCAACCUUGUUGUUCUCCUGUUUCAUGUUCAUAACCUCCCCUUGGAAUUUUGCAGCUUGAUAUGAAGUGAAAUGAGCUCCUUCCUCAGGGUCUGCACCCAUCUCCAUGGUUGCUUCAAUUUCCUCUUGUAUGCUGCAGAGGGAAGCGAACCUAUACUGGAGCUCCCCUUUGAGCAUGGCAUUCUGUUCCAACCAUACUUGUAGUUCUAUCUUGAGUUCUCUUAGCCGUUUUUCUAUGGCAUUUGAGUCACCCUUUGCUGAUGGAUCAUCCGCACGGCCAUUAUUUGUCUUGAGCUUGUCCUUG